CACGUAGGGGGCAAGCGUUGUCCGGAAUCAUUGGGCGUAAAGAGCUCGUAGGCGGCUCAGUAAGUCGGGUGUGAAACCCUCAGGCUCAACCUGGGGACGCCACCCGAUACUGCUGUGGCUAGAGUCCAGUAGGGGAGUGUGGAAUUCCCGGUGUAGCGGUGAAAUGCGCAGAUAUCGGGAGGAACACCAGCGGCGAAGGCGGCACUCUGGGCUGGUACUGACGCUGAGGAGCGAAAGCGUGGGGAGCGAACAGG
rnacentral:rRNA from 1 species